UGUAAAAAAUUGCUGUAAAAAAACGGGGAAUUUUGGACAGUAAUUUACCGUUUCUCAUAAAUACAGUUGAAUACUGUAAAUAAACAUUAAUAUGACAAACAAAAUAAUAACAGCAAGCUCCUGUUCAGUCUUACGGGAUAAUACAGUAUUUUUUGGUUUGGUCAGGCAUGUCAGACAUGUGACGAGCUCAUCUGCAACCAUGAGUAAAACUGAUUUAACUACACUGUUUUUCUGCAUUUUAUUAUACGAGAAGGAAGCAGAAUUAAAGACUGUCUAUCCAUUUUCACUCCGAUUGUGACCCUACCAGCACUGAGACGGACGACGAAUUCACUUGUUUUUUACUCCUCGCCUGUAUAUCAAGUUGCUGGUGAUGAAGUAACAUUUGGAGGUUGGAUGAUCAGCAGUGAAAACAUCAUCAUCUGUGAAGGCAAGAUGAAGCUGCGAGGACACUGGAGUUUGUUCAAAGAUGCUUAAUUGGUGUGAACCCUAAGAGGUGAACAAAAGCCAGGCAGGUGAAGGUGUCCGAGAAGACAGGAAAGCUUGUCCAGAAAAACGCAGCAACUGUUAAUCCCCAUGUGACCACCCUCAUCAAAAACUUCAUGGACUUUGAGUGGCUUUCACAUUGUAUUCUGCAGUGUUGUGAUAUUUAUGUGACAUCACAGCAUUAUGUUUUAUUCAGCCCAGUCUCAUUAGUGAGGCAGAAACUGACAUUUAAGAAUGCACUGAAUUUUGUUAUAUUUAAUAAAAACAGUGUUUUAUCAUCAUCCUUUGUUUGAGAAUUUUUUUGCAAGCAAUUUUAAGUGUUUAUUUUAAAAUUACAUUUUAACAAUGCUAGAAAAUCACAUUCUACAGUAUAAAUAACAGCAGGAACCCUAAAAUAACAGUAUAAUGCAUCCAAACAUCUGACAGUAUUAUACUGUGCAGCUCCCUUUUUUUACAGUACUGUCUCGUAAUAUUUGUACAGUAAAAAACUGUUGUUGUAAAUUACAGUAGGUAAUCUGUAAAAUUACAACUAUAUGCUGGCAAAUCUAGCUGCCAGUAUAUUAC